CGCUUCCGUAACCGAGAGACGAUCCAAUCUAGCAGUUUCCCUCUUCCAUGGUGAAACGCCUCCCCAUCCAUAAAAACGCACCACUAGCCGCAUCUGGUCACCGCAUGCAUCAUUAUCCUCCAUCCCUCCAUCCCGAUCUCUCCCGUCUUUCUCUGCUCAAGCCAUUGAUUGCCUCAUGGUGCGCCACGCCUCUGCCCUCAUCUAGUCAUCUCCUUCUGUUGCGCCUUGCUGUUACGUUGGUUACCCACGACCUACCGACGCGCCGAGUCGUCGACUUGCCAUUGCGGAGAAGCUGCGUCCUGGCCAUCUGCCCUGCACGAUUCAAAUCCUGGGAGAGCGGCCCCGCCCUGUCUAGAGAGGUCGCCGGUGGUGCUAUCUUCUCGCAUUGCCGGCGUGGAAGGUGGGAGUGGCCAGAUUUGGACUUCUCUUUUUGCAAUUAAGCAGAUUGACUGAUUAUAAGCAUUACGUCCUACGUGGUGGUGCAGUCCAACUCUGAACACUUUUUUACUUUUUAUUUUCUUACUGAAGGUUAAUUCCCACACACGCUACAAUCUGAAGAUCACCAAAACUGACUAUUCUGGAUUUGAUAUAUUUUCGUACUGAAGACAUUCCACAAAGCGAUUUUUAUGUAUUAAAUAUUCGACGUUACUUCAACAUGUAUGGAUAUUUGGCGUUACUUCAACAUGUACGCAUACUGCUACGGACUCUAUUCAGGGUUACCUACUAUGAGGAAAAUGGAGCAAGGAUGGAUCAAAGUAAAUGUACUUGGAAGUUCUGAUGGAAAUUACACAUAGUCAAGACCUGGGUUAUAGUUUUGUGGUGAUGUUUUAGCUGUAUCUUUGAAGUUUUUUCCCUUGCAGAAGAAGCGGAGGUGGUAGCCUAUAUAUUGGAGCUUUAAAUCAGUUGGUUCCACAUGAAAAUGACCAUAUAAUCAUUUAUUCUGAUUGUGUUUGCUUUCCAAAAUUUGGAUGAUAAAGUAGGAGGAUAGAUCUUACUUACCCGUGUACCAUUAUAGCCAUGCAUC